rnacentral:rRNA from 1 species
AUUGAACGCUGGCGGCAGGCCUAACACAUGCAAGUCGAACGAGUGGCGGACGGGUGAGUAAUGUCUGGGAAACUGCCUGAUGGAGGGGGAUCACUACUGGAAACGGUAGCUAAUACCGCAUACCAUCGGAUGUGCCCAGAUGGUAUUAGCUAGUAGGUGGGGUAAAGGCUCACCUAGGCGACGCUCCCUAGCUGGUCUGAGCGGAUGACCAGCCACACUGUAACUGAGACACGUGCCAGAUUCCUACGGGAGGCAGAAGUGGGGAAUAGUGCACAAAGGGCGAAAGCCUGAUGCAGCCAUGCCGCGUGUAUGAAGAAGCCCUUCGGGUUGUAAAGUACUUUCAGCGGGGAGGCGUUACCCGCAGAAGAAGCACCGGCUAACUCCGUGCCAGCAGCCGCGGUAAUUC